GGAGAGAUGGCCGAGUGGCUGAAGGCGCUCCCCUGCUAAGGGAGUAUACGGCCAAAAGCUGUAUCGAGGGUUCGAAUCCCUCUCUCUCCGCCA
rnacentral:tRNA from 1 species